rnacentral:rRNA from 1 species
AGUGAACGCUGGCGGUAGGCCUAACACAUGCCAGUCGAACGGCAGCACAGUAAGAGCUUGCUCUUACGGGUGGCGAGUGGCGGACGGGUGAGGAAUACAUCGGAAUCUACUUUUUCGUGGGGGAUAACGUAGGGAAACUUACGCUAAUACCGCAUACGACCUACGGGUGAAAGCAGGGGAUCUUCGGACCUUGCGCGAUUGAAUGAGCCGAUGUCGGAUUAGCUAGUUGGCGGGGUAAAGGCCCACCAAGGCGACGAUCCGUAGCUGGUCUGAGAGGAUGAUCAGCCACACUGGAACUGAGACACGGUCCAGACUCCUACGGGAGGCAGCAGUGGGGAAUAUUGGACAAUGGGCGCAAGCCUGAUCCAGCCAUACCGCGUGGGUGAAGAAGGCCUUCGGGUUGUAAAGCCCUUUUGUUGGGAAAGAAAAGCAGCAGGUUAAAACCCCGCUGUUCUGACGGUACCCAAAGAAUAAGCACCGGCUAACUUCGUG